GGGUGUUGUAUUGCCAGUGCUCCAAUCCAAUCUCGUGUAUCAUGUUUGCUAAAGUAGAAUUUUUUCUUCAAUUUGUUUUGUUUUUGUUUUUUUUUUUUUUGUUUAGUUUGCUUGAGGGCAAGUAAAAACGUAAGUGUGGGGGGAUUUGACCUGACGUCAAAUGUAGUAGUUUUUUUUGGUAUAUUUUCGCACUUAAAGAG
rnacentral:lncRNA from 1 species